rnacentral:lncRNA from 1 species
CGCCGGGGACCUUAUCCGGACUUGUAAGCCAUCAGAGGACGUGAAAUGGGGACCUGAUGAUCCGUUCAAGAAAACGGGAGGCGGUCGUUCGAUAUCCUCCUUUGACGGCUGCGAUUCAAAGCUUCGCCGCAAUCCGACGGUCGCGGGUCCGUCUUCCCCAUCGUCCUUACCUUUGAAAUUGUGACCCUCUCUCUCUCUUCAUCGGCAUCUCCCCCAAAACUCUCCGUCUCAACUACCACGAGCUCACAGUUGGGGAGAGCGAGAGAACCCACGAGCUUCCUGGCCAUGGCUGCCUCCUCGUCUUUCGCCCUGCAGACGGUGGUCUCCCGCGCCGUCGCCGGCGGCCAUGGCUCGCCGUCCCCCUCCCCCGCGGAGCACCUCGCCGUCCCCACCGGCUUCUCCUUGUGCUCACUCGCCGGCAAGGGCGUCAAGUCCUCAUCCGCCGCCGCUCCAUUCGCCCCUUCGUCCCGGAGGGGGAAGCGGUCGGGGCUGAGGCGGCCGGCGCCGG